UACAGAGGUCCCAAGCGUUGUCCGGAUUCAUUGGGCGUAAAGGGUGCGUAGGCGGCGCGGUAAGUCGGGUGUGAAAUCUCGGAGCUUAACUCCGAAACUGCAUUCGAUACUGCCGUGCUUGAGGACUGGAGAGGAGACUGGAAUUUACGGUGUAGCGGUGAAAUGCGUAGAUAUCGUAAGGAAGACUAGUGGCGAAGGCGGGGUCUCUGGACAGUUCCUGACGCUGAGGCACGAAGGCCAGGGGGAGCGAAACGGG
rnacentral:rRNA from 1 species